rnacentral:rRNA from 1 species
GGGACGAACGCUGGCGGCGUGCUUAACACAUGCAAGUCGAGCGGUAAGGCCUUUCGGGGUACACGAGCGGCGAACGGGUGAGUAACACGUGGGUGAUCUGCCCUGCACUUCGGGAUAAGCCUGGGAAACUGGGUCUAAUACCGGAUAUGACUUCAGGUUGCAUGACUUGGGGUGGAAAGAUUUAUCGGUGCAGGAUGGGCCCGCGGCCUAUCAGCUUGUUGGUGGGGUAAUGGCCUACCAAGGCGACGACGGGUAGCCGACCUGAGAGGGUGACCGGCCACACUGGGACUGAGACACGGCCCAGACUCCUACGGGAGGCAGCAGUGGGGAAUAUUGCACAAUGGGCGAAAGCCUGAUGCAGCGACGCCGCGUGAGGGAUGACGGCCUUCGGGUUGUAAACCUCUUUCAGCAGGACGAAGCGCAAGUGACGGUACCUGCAGAAGAAGCACCGGCUAACACGUGCCAGCAGCCGAC